rnacentral:lncRNA from 1 species
UCAUUUGUUCUUUAAUCUUUGAUGCAUCGCCAAGUACGGUAGAAUACCACGUACCGAUUGUACCGUACCGAAAAUAACGGUAUACCGAACAUUGGUAUACCGAACUUUUUGGUAUGGUAACGGUAUGAAAUUUUUCAAUACCGCAAUGUACGGUAGGUACACGGUAUUGAGCUAAAUGUUUGGCAACCGUACCGAAUCCACCCCUACUAU